rfam:Felis catus isolate Cinnamon breed Abyssinian chromosome E2, whole genome shotgun sequence.
GCCUGGGUGGCUCAGUCGGUUAAGCGUCUGACUUCAGCUCAGGUCAUGAUCUCACAGCCUGUGAGUUCGAGCCCCGCGUCAGGCU